GUGGGGAAUAUUGGACAAUGGGCGAAAGCCUGAUCCAGCCAUGCCGCGUGUGUGAAGAAGGUCUUCGGAUUGUAAAGCACUUUAAGUUGGGAGGAAGGGCAGUAAGUUAAUACCUUGCUGUUUUGACGUUACCGACAGAAUAAGCACCGGCUAACUUCGUGCCAGCAGCCGCGGUAAUACGAAGGGUGCAAGCGUUAAUCGGAAUUACUGGGCGUAAAGCGCGCGUAGGUGGUUCAGUAAGUUGGAAGUGAAAUCCCCGGGCUCAACCUGGGAACUGCUUUCAAAACUGCUGAGCUAGAGUACGGUAGAGGGUAGUGGAAUUUCCUGUGUAGCGGUGAAAUGCGUAGAUAUAGGAAGGAACACCAGUGGCGAAGGCGACUACCUGGACUGAUACUGACACUGAGGUGCGAAAGCGUGGGGAGCAAACAGGAUUAGAAACCCGAGUAGUCC
rnacentral:rRNA from 1 species